rnacentral:ncRNA from 1 species
AGUUUUGGUCCUAAACUUGCCCUUGUUUUUUAUCAAAAUUAUACAUGCAAGCCUCCACACGCCAGUGAGAAUGCCCACACACCCCCUAACAGCCAACCGGAGCAGGUAUCAGGAUACAACACUUUAAACCUUGGCCAAAGACACCUUGCAAACGCCACACCCCCACGGGCCUUCAGCAGUAAUUGACAUUAAAACAUGAGCGAAAGCUCGACUUAGUUACGAUAAACAUGGUCGGUAAAUUUCGUGCCAGCCACCGCGGUUAUACGAAAGACCAAAAACAACGACCCACGGCGUAAAGCGUGACUAGAGACGCCCACCCAUUAAAGGAGAACAGCGGCCAAGUUGUAAAAUACUACUGCACGCUAGAAUAACAACACAAGUACCUUUAAACCCCUUUACCUCACGAAAGCUGAGAAACAAACUGGGAUUAGAUACCCCACUAUGCUCAGCCAUAAACACAGAUAAUACAAACACAAUAUUAUCCGCCAGAGAACUACAAGCGAAAAGCUCAAAACUCCAAGGACUUGGCGGUGCUUCAAAUCAACCUAGAGGAGCCUGUCCUAUAAUCGAUACCCCACGUUUUACCUCACCCCUCCUCGCCAAACAGCCUAUAUACCGCCGUCGCCAGCCUACCCUAUGAAAGAAAGAAAGUGGGCAAAAAAGUUUUUAACUAAUACGUCAGGUCAAGGUGUAGCACACGGAGCGGAAGAGAUGGGCUACAUUUAUCCAAAGAAUAAAUACGAAUAGUGUAUUGAAACACACACUUGAAGGCGGAUUUAACAGUAAUAUAAAUAAGAAAAACUAUAUUAAGCCUGCUCUGAAGCGCGCACACACCGCCCGUCACCCUCAUCACAUGUAACACAACAUAAAAU